rnacentral:lncRNA from 1 species
GUCAGUUUUUAAUAUUCUCUUUUUUCCAUUUACUAAUUUUAUUGUUUGUAUUUGGAGCACAGUUUUUAUUUUAUGUCUAUGCUGUGUGUCUUACUAUUGAGCUACAUGAUUAUAUUUUCUCUUUUACUAAUAUCAGUAGGAUGUGGAUGUUAUUUAUACAUGUCUUUUUCCUUAUUAUUUAUCAGUCUGUCUAGAGGUUAUCAAUUGUAAAAAAAUAAACCAGCUUUUAGUUUCAUCUUUUUUUCUAUUUUUUAAACUUUUAAUAUAAUUGAUUUAUUUUCUACUCUUUAUUAUUUUCUUCCUUCUAUUUGCUUUGGGUUUAAUUUGCUUUUCUUUCUCUAGUGUCCUAAUGUAAGUAUUUAAUGUUAGUAUCACAAUGAAAUCUUCAGGCAAUAUUUUCUCACUGCAUUUAUUUGUCUGAAAAAGUAUUUCACCUUCAUUGCUGAAAGAUAUUUUCUCUAGGUAUGGAGAUCUGGGUUGACAGGCUUUUUUAUUUCUUUCAAAAAUUUAAAGCUGUGAUUCCAAUAUCUUCUGACUUGUAGGCUUUCCGACGAGAAGGUGACUGUAAUUUUUGUCUUUGUUUCUCUGUAAUGUGAUGUGUCUUUUCACUGGCUGCCUUCAAAAUUGUCUUUUUAUGUUUUUCAGCCCUUUGAAUAGGAUAUGUCUAGGCAUAUGAUAUUUUUCAGUCUUGCUUUGCAAUCGCUUAGCCUCUUGAAUCUUUUUUAAAUGUCUUUCAUUAUUUUUGGAAAAUUUAUCUUUUCAAAUAUCUCUCUCGUUUUGUGCUCUCUCCUCCUUCUGGGUCUUCAAUUACAAGUAUUUAGAUGAUUUGAAAUUGUCACACAGCUUUUUGAUGCUCCGUUCUGUUUGUAUUCAUUCUUUUUUUCUCUGUCUUUAAGCUUUGGUGAUGCCUGUUGACCCAUCUUCAAGUUCAUGAUUCUUUCCUUAGCCAGGCCAAGUCCAUUGUUGAACCUGCUGAAGGAAUCCUUCAAAGGAUCUUUUAUUAUGCCCUAGGGCUGACCAGCUUUAUUUUUCUGCUUGAAGCAUUUGCUUCUCUAUGAGACAAGGGAUCAGGCAGGGAAGAAGGGUUUUUAUUUUUCCUGCAAUGGCAGCUACUCCCUCCUCCAUGCCUUCAUCAGCAGAGGAGGUCCUCCUGUCUCUUAUCCUGUUCUCUUGAACAGCCACUGGAGAUCUAUGGAAAAGAGCUUGCAGUGUUGGUCUGCAAGCUUCAAGAGCCAGUGACCCUGACUGCCAAGUGAUUUGCCGAAGGGAAUUAUGGUUUUGCAUUUGAUGGUUUCCAGGAACUGCUAAGAGUGAGAUCAUCCCUGAAGCAGUGACUGCCAGAGGAAGGCGAGAGACAUAUGGUGGCCUUACAGGUAUCUACAAUAUUGAAACAAUGUUUUAUUUUUAUUUUUAUUUUUUAUGGAGAGUGUUCAAAAAAGUUGGAAAGACAUUGUAGGAAACCACUUACCACUUUGUAAGUCUCUCUCUCUCCAUUUGACUGAACUCUGUGGGGGAAAGAGCCCAGUCUUCUUACAGCCUUAUUACAUUUGAAUCCUCAGCAUGUAGCUCCUGAUGUGGAUCAGCCUUAGGAGAAAGAAGUCUGUGCUUAAAUGGAAUGCUUGAUCUCAGAAAAUGGAAAGAAUUUCAAGACUCUGAUUACUUUAUGACAAAGACAUUUUACUGCCAGGAAAAAUGGAGAAGAACAUGUCUCAGAGAGCUCCUACUCCUCCAGUUUUGGCCCCAGAAUGAAACACAGGAAGAAGACCUGAAUUUGAUUUGCAUUUCAAAGUAGAACUGUCCCAGCUGACAUGAAGACUGAUGAAUAAGGAAUAAGUAUUUAUUGUUGUAUGUCACUGAUAUUUCUGUGGUCGAUUAUGUGUAGAAGAGCUGACUUGUACACUUACAUAAACUUGAAGAAGACUGAAUUUAGAAAUGGAGUUUCUGCAUAUGGUUAUGUCUGAGUAGCUCCAAGUGGAUCAUCCCUCCCACAGAUAACAACUCUAAACUCUGGACAAAAUAUAAAAAUAACAAUUUCCUGAAUAUCAAAGAGCAACCCAAAUCAUGCAGAUACUGGGUAAGUUUUAUAGGAAAUUUUUUAUAGCUUAAGACUAUGCAGCAGUCAGUAUCAUAUGGCAUGACUAAAACCUACAUAGGGAGAAAUGGUGUAGAGUAUGAAAAGCAACUACCACAGCUAAAAGGUGAGGAGGAAUAUCCAAGAAGGAGAGAGCUAAAGAGAGGCUCCUGGUUUUUGUGGAUACAUGCCACCCAAAUCUAUGGUUCAUCCCUGAACCAGAGUAUGCACAGUAAAUUUUAUUACAAUUUCACCUAGGAAUAAAAUAAUUGAACUGAAAUUUCAUAGUUGAGGGUUUGAGAAUGGCUAAGUUAACUACUUGCUAUUAUCAAAAAUCAAUACUCUUCAAAGAACAUAAAGGAAUCCAGAGUCUCUAAAACAUAUAAUUCAUAAAGUCCUAGAUAGAACACAUGAAAAAAAUCACAAUCUCACAUGGAAACUGGAAAAUAUGAUCCAAUAUCAAGAGAAAAUGUAAUCAUUGGAGACUGACCCAGAUAUUGGAAUAAGCAGAUAAGAAUAUUAAAGCAGCCAUAUAACUAAUGAUUCCCAGGUACAUGAAGUAAAAUAUGCUAAUAAUACAUUAAAAAUAGGAAACCUCAGUAAAGAAAUAAAAUCUUUUUAAAAGAACCAAUGAAGGCCGGG